ensembl:lncRNA
UUUUUUUUUAGUUGUUGUGUCUUUGUGUUCUUGAAGGACCAUUUCCAUUUAUAAUGCCAUCUUUCUUGACCACAGAUUACCUGAAGAAUCUUUUUGAACCAGCUGGCAGUGCAUUUGUUGGUUUUUUGUUUUGGAUCAUUUUUCAGUAUGUGUUUAAAAUGGAUUUUAAAUGUCCUUGUGACCCUGAGAGAAAUACUCAUGUAUGCGUAGUUUACGUGACUUUGCCCACCAUCUCACUUUUCAUUUUAGUGAUGAUUACUGACAAGCACAUAAGGAGUAUUUUCUGCAGCAAUGGAAGAGGAACAGCAUACAAGGGCAUGAUUAUUUUAAUGUCAUUAAUUAAAGGACUCUCAGUAGCAAGCCUGUGGAUAAUUACAGUACUGAUGGAUGGGGACUGGUAUGCGUGUCUUACAACAACAAACUAUGACUUGCCUCCUUAUGAGCAAACCUUUUGCAAAAUUUUCAAAACCCCUGCUGAAGAUGCAGAUAUAAGAGUCAAAAAAAGUUUUUCACGAGAGAUGGCCAUAUAUGUGUUAUUCAUAAUGAGUAUUGUUUGGACACUCACAGCUAUAAGACAAUCUCACUGCAUGAAACCACUUGCAUAUCAGUAUAAUAAGUAUUUUCUUGAGGAGACCGACCUCUAUUUAACAGAUGAAUUGAAAAAACUGGCUAAAGACAAUGCAAUGAAUAGAGGAGAGGAACAAAUGCAUGAUGUCAGAUCCUACCUAGGCAUUCCAGAAACACAGCAACCGCCGGAGUGGGUUUCAUCACAGCCUGCAUUUGAUCAAGCUAACGCAGAGCAGCCAAGUCGAUCUUCAGACACGCACACUACAUCAUCAGAGCAUUUGGGGAAAACCGAGGAAAAACAACCUCUACUACAAGACAAAAAGUGAAAAGACGGUAACACUUUAUUUCGAUAGUCCACUUUAGACAUUCUACUAACUAUAAGUAACUUUGUAACUACAUGUCAACUACAUGAAAAUUAACUAAUAUACUAACUAAUUCUUAUUAAUUUGCAAAUACAUGUCUACUAACUCUCAGAGUAGACUAUUAGGGUAGGUUUAGGAUUAGUGUUAGGGGUAGGUUUAGGGUUAGUAUAAGUUGACAAUAAGUUGACAAAGAAAGUGUUAGAAGAUAUUAAGAGUUAGUAGAAUGUCUAAAGUGGACUAUCGAAAUAAAGUGUAACCGAAAAAACUGUCUUUUAUAUAA